GCAAUAACAAAUGACAGUUCAAAUUUUAAUGUAUUAUUCAUGUUUCUCCAGAGUUAAUAAUCAUAUUUCUAGGGACCUUUUAAGAAUUUAUUGCUUCAUACACAUUCCAAUACCAACAAUUAUUAGUUUAUAAAGCACAUAUCCGUCUACACUUUAACAAACUUACAAUUGUUUCUUCUUUCUUAUAAUGUCAAUCAUUAAUCACAUAUUAAAGAUUUCACAUUGUUCAACAAGUGAAAAUUAUAGAUUAUUUUAAUGGGAUUGAGAAUGAGAAUAGCAAUGAAAAAAAAAAACAAACAGACAACGGUCUUAGGUUGGGCCUGGUCAACACAUCAAGGGAGUUAAAUGUCAACGAUGUUAUUAUUUGCACCUUGUUUUGACAGACAUCAAUUGUGAUUCAAUUAAUCAUCGUAACACGUUCUCAAAAGUGUACCUCUAGCAAAAAAGUCAAUGAAGCCUAAUUAAAUUCAAUUAAAUAAAUACAAAUUAGUAAAACUUUCCAAAUGAAAGAGGGGAAGAGAGACAAGCAAAUGGAGAUCAAUGAACAUAAGUACAAUAUGAAACAUUUACCCUCAUAUUGCGCUGCAAGUUCUUAAUUCACUCCUGCUUGAAGUGAGAUCAACUGAACCCAUGCGAUUUGUUCUCCAUUCAAAUAAAACCAAAUAUAUGUAUGUAUGGAUGUAUAUAAAAUCAAAAUAGGGUGAUGACUUUGAGAUGGCAUAUUGAAUAUGAAAAAAUACUCAGAGCAAAUGAC